rnacentral:rRNA from 1 species
GAUGAACGCUGGCGGCGUGCCUAAUACAUGCAAGUCGAGCGAAUGGAUUAAGAGCUUGCUCUUAUGAAGUUAGCGGCGGACGGGUGAGUAACACGUGGGUAACCUGCCCAUAAGACUGGGAUAACUCCGGGAAACCGGGGCUAAUACCGGAUAACAUUUUGAACCGCAUGGUUCGAAAUUGAAAGGCGGCUUCGGCUGUCACUUAUGGAUGGACCCGCGUCGCAUUAGAUAGUUGGUGAGGUAACGGCUCACCAAGGCAACGAUGCGCAGCCGACCGGAGAGGGUGAUCGGCCACACUGGGACUGAGAAACGGCCCAGACUCCUACGGGAGGCAGCAGUAGGGAAUCUUCCGCAAUGGACGAAAGUCUGACGGAGCAACGCCGCGUGAGUGAUGAAGGCUUUCGGGUCGUAAAACUCUGUUGUUAGGGAAGAACAAGUGCUAGUUGAAUAAGCUGGCACCUUGACGGUACCUAACCAGAAAACCACGGCUAACUACGUGCCAGCAGCCGCAGUAA